UACAGAGGUCUCAAGCGUUGUUCGGAUUCAUUGGCGUAAAGGGUGCGUAGGUGGCGAGGUUAGUCAGGUGUGAAAUCUCGGGGCUCAACCCCGAAACUGCACUUGAUACUGCCUUGCUAGAGUACUGGAGAGGAGAUUGGAAUUUACGGUGUAGCAGUGAAAUGCGUAGAUAUCGUAAGGAAGACCAGUGGCGAAGGCGAAUCUCUGGACAGUUACUGACACUGAGGCACGAAGGCCAGGGGAGCAAACGGG
rnacentral:rRNA from 1 species